UACGGAGGGUGCGAGCGUUAUCCGGAAUUACUGGGUUUAAAGGGUGCGUAGGCGGCCAAGCAAGUCAGGAGUGAAAGUUUGCGGCUCAACCGUAAAAUUGCUUUUGAUACUGCUAGGCUAGAAUUAGGAUGAGGUCAGCGGAAUGUGGCAUGUAGCGGUGAAAUGCAUAGAUAUGCCAUAGAACACCAAUUGCGAAGGCAGCUGGCUAGACCUGGAUUGACGCUGAGGCACGAAAGCGUGGGGAUCGAACAGG
rnacentral:rRNA from 1 species